UAUAAUGUUUCAAUUUUCGCGCAAUUUUGAGCGAAUAAAGAUCCACGCCGCUCUAGCCAAUUAGAAAGUAGCUAGAGAAACUUGUGGAACGUUAGUAACGCAGUGUUAUUCAGCCGAAAAUCAUUGUGACGAUACCGGCUUAAAGUACGUGAUUUCAAUUACGCAAUUCGAAAUGCGAUGAAGGGACAAUAAGAAGGAAUCGCAUAUGACUGACUAAUUGGAAUCACAGCCUCUUGGCAAUAAUUCAAUCUUGUUAAGCAACGUCGCGGCAAAAGCGCAAAUUAACACGUUGUAUUACUCGCCACUACCGCCAUCCUGCUACACAUCGGCUUUUAACUCGAAAAAGGAACAAAAGAUGUUUCUUCUUUUCGUUUAUUCUGCUCACGCGACGGAGCACAGGUUAUACAGGGCGAUUGCUAACCCCGUAACGAAUUGUUAGGCAGCGUUUGCGAUACUACGCGUAAAACUAUCGCUAUUUUUGAGCGAAGAAACAUAGAAUUUUGUUCAUUUGAACGCCAGCAGAUGGCAUAUGAUCUCUGCGCGUGUUUAUUGCGCAAGCUUCGAUGCGAAACGACCUCGGCCAAUAUGGCUUCCUCCAAAAGUUAGAACGCGCGAAGUGACAACUUCUGAAAGAAGCUUCUAUCUUUCUUCCGUGGAUACAAAUAAAGAACGUAACGAAAGAGAAGGUACGAAGUCUUAAAACCUUUUUAACGUCGAAGAUUACGAGAUUACGUCACAAGUGUCAAAAGUUGAAUAAAUCGCAACAUCGUUCAAUCGU